GGGGAUUUAGCUCAGUGGCAGAGCACUUGCCUAGCAAGCACAAGGCCCUGGGUUCGGUACCCAGCUCCG
rnacentral:tRNA from 1 species